UACGAAGGGGGCUAGCGUUGCUCGGAAUCACUGGGCGUAAAGGGCGCGUAGGUGGCCUGUGGAAGUCUGCGGUGAAAGCCCGGCGCUCAACGCCGGGUCGGCCGUGGAUACUCUCGGGCUUGAGCUCACUAGAGGCAGAUGGAAUUCCGGGUGUAGCGGUGGAAUGCGUAGAGAUCCGGAAGAACACCGGUGGCGCAGGCGGCUCGCUGGGCCGGUCCUGACACUGAGACGCGAAGGCGUGGGGAGCGAACGGG
rnacentral:rRNA from 1 species